CUUUUUAUCUUUAUUGUUUUAUUAAUUAUAAGUGUCCUUGGCCAGCAAGGAGAAUGUCCAUUUGGACUUUAUCCUGUAAGUUGGACAGCUUGUCAAUAUCACCAUCAAUGUCCAGGAAGAUCAUUUUGCUUGUUUGUCCCUUGGAGGUCAUACGGCAUUUGUUGUCCAAACAUUUGGGACAAAAUACAAUCUAGCAUUAAUUUCUUCUAGGAUGAACUAGCAGUGAAGUGAUUCAUAUUGUAAAACGUUUGGAGAAUAAAGAGGAAAUCAAUAA